rnacentral:tRNA from 1 species
GGAGGGCUGACAGAGCGGCCUAAUGUGACGGUCUUGAAAACCGUUGUCCGCAAGGACCGGGGGUUCGAAUCCCUCGCCCUCCG